rnacentral:tRNA from 1 species
CAGGGCAUGGCGCAGUUGGUAGCGCGUUCGUCUGGGGGGCGAGAGGUCGCCAGUUCAAGUCUGGUUGCCCUGACCA